rnacentral:lncRNA from 10 species
CUCCAUCUCUGGGGACUUGGCAGGAACUUCUGCAGACCUCACCCCCGACCCCCAUGAGGUUCAGCUAUAAGAUAAAAAAGGAACUUUGCCCUGCGAUGGGCAGCAGCAGGUCACUGGGUGCAAUUAGAAUAGCCAGGGGUUUCUGUGGAUGGAAGAGGCUGGAGGGAUGGGAGAGGUCAGCACUUUUGCCCUUGAACACAGACAUGUUUGCUUUUCUUUUACAAUUAAGCAAUUGUCAUAGGUUCCUGGAUGUCAGCUUUGCAAACCCUGGAGAAUUUCUCUAUGAUAAAUAACAAUAAGUGAUUAAAAAUAGCAGCAACAGCAGCCGCUUUCAGUAAGCUUCUACCAAGUGCUUUGUUUGUAUCAUCUCAUUUCAGGCUUUACAACCAGCCUGUGCUGUGGUAAUCGCCCCCACUUUACAGAUGAGGAAACUGAGGCCAAGAGAGGCGAGGGGACUCACCAGAGGCCAGUCAGCCAGACUUAGCAAAGGGCACAGGUGUAGGCUGCCAUAGAAAAGACAGCCCACCUCAUAGGGCCCAUGGAACACUGUCCCCAGUGGAGUAUGCAUGAGAGACGUGCUGCUCAGACAGGAAGCCCACAGCUGAGGCUGUUCUUGCCCUUAUCCCAUGUUGAGGGACGUGGCGGAGUGCUUUUGCUCAAGUCCGCACUUUGGUCAGCCCUGGCUGGGUCUCCCACCCCAGGGCCCCUUGAGGCCAGGAAAACACAAGCUCCUACCUGCCUGGUGGUACAGAUGCUUGAGGGAGGAGGCCUGCCCUGCCUGCUUCAUGGAGUUCCUGCUUCACCUAGGUUCUUGGCCUCAGAAUUCCUUCCUUGACUUCUUCCAGGAUUCCUAGUCAACUUCAGUGGGAGAGUCCACCCUGGCACUCAGCCCUCCCUCCUA